CCGGGACGGCUGCACGCACGGGCGGGAGUGCAAAGAGGGGGCGUCCAGCCUGAGUCCCAGCAGUGAGUGAGUUCCCUGGCUUGAGGAUGGAGACCGACCCAUGGCGGGCACGCGUUGGUCAGGGGAAGAGAGUCUCUCCACCAUUUCUGCCAGAUCGUUUUCCGUCGCGGGGAGUCCUGGGCACUGCGGGAUAUUGUGCGGCUCCCCUGGCUUCUCCCCGCUGGAUGCUGUUAGCAUCCCGAGACUAGUUUGACAGCCAAGGAUGUCUCCAGACAUUGCCGGAUGUUGCCCCAGCUUGAGACCACGGCUCUAGAAGAAGCACCACUUCUACUUGGAGUUCACCCCCCUAGAAAAGGCCUGCCCUCUGGAGGGGCCACCGUGCGUGGUGCGGCCGUGCCGGGAGGAGCGUCCUCUACGCAGACCCUGCCGCCUGCAGAUGGAAGACGCACGGGGAGCAGGGGGCUCACUUUCCACCUCCCGACCUGGGGUCGCCACAGCUGUUCACUAGCUAGCUGGUCCUGCUUGACCACAUGGGUCACCUACCAGGCCACAGUUUUGUCCUCUUAAGUAAGGGUGGCCUGAGCCCCCACGGCUCAGUUCUAGAAACACCUGACUCUUCUCCUCAGCGUUUCUACUCCUGUGAUGAGCCCCAAACCAGCCUCCUGGAGAGAACCAGGGAUGACGGUCAGCAGCUGCCGGAGAGCCUGGUCCCCAGCGACCAGGGCCCUGUCCCUGCCUGCAGGGAUGCCCUUAAAGACCAGGCCCUGGUCCUGUCCACUCUGGCCAUGAACAAGGUCACCAGGGCUGGCCCCUGGGGUCAGAGGAGCGGGCGCCCUGGUUUCCAUGGCACUGGCUUGCAGUGGCCCAAUUCCUCCUCACAUGUGUGUGUGGUUCCUCUGCACACACGCAUGCACACACUCACAAGGUACACGCACACACACGUGCACACACACCCAGGCACCAACAUCUCCCCUGGGUCGUGCCCCAGGAUGAAGGAAAAGCCAGAAUCCAGAUGUUGGGAGAACAUCCAGCCUGUGUCAGGGCCCGUUGAGAAGGGGUGGUGCAGGACAGCCCGGCUCUACCCCAGAGCUCCGCCCGUCGGGCCUGCGGCAGUCAACGCUGCAUCUUCUUGGGAGCCCCUGUUUUGGACUGAGCAUGACUAAUGCAGGAGCGGACCUGGAGGAGAGUGGAGCGCAGCCUCAGGCUCUGCUCACACCACAGCCUCCUGGGCAACUGUGCAUCGUGCUCCCGCGAGGGACACGGAGGGUUUUGGUCCCUGAGCACCCGGAGGCUGAACUGAGAACGAGGUACAGAGAUGCCCUGAAACACAGCUGGGGGUGCUGUGGGUCUGCCCACUUACCAGGUGCAGUUGUUACAGCCUCGUUUUCACGUUUUCUGCGGGACUUGACUGCCCUUUGUACCCCCCCGGGAGCAAACACGAGCGUCAGCCCGCAGCCGCCAGCCGAAGGUCACGGAUUCUACCCUGCACUUACCGCUGAUGGUCAACAGGGGGUGUUAAUCAACAGCUUUAUCCUGUUCUGCUAGGUGGUAACUGCACAACUCAGAAGAUCUCAAAUUUCAACUUAUUUAUUAAACAUAAAUAUCUAGUGUACUCCUUGAAUCUUAGAGUACUUUUAUCACUUUGUUAAAUUUCACUUGUUUCCUUUAGCCUCAAAACAAAUUUUCCUGAAUGUCUACAAAGAGACUUUAAAA